CCUACGGGUGGCUGCAGUGGGGGAUAUUGCACAAUGGGGGGAACCCUGAUGCAGCGACGCCGCGUGGGUGAAGAAGCGCCUCGGCGCGUAAAGCCCUGUCAGCAGGGAAGCAAAUGACGGUACCUGAAGAAGAAGCCCCGGCUAACUACGUGACAGCAACCGCGGUAAUACGUAGGGGGCAAGCGUUAUCCGGAUUUAAGUGGGGUAAAGGGGGCGCAGACGGGGAUGCAAGCCAGGAGUGAAAGCCCGGGGCCCAACCCCGGGACUGCGCUUGGAACUGGGUGGUUGGAGUGCAGGAGGGGCAGGCGGAAUUCCUGGUGUAGCGGUGAAAGGCGUAGAUAUCAGGAGGAACACCGGUGGCGAAGGCGGCCUGCUGGACUGCAACUGACGUUGAGGCCCGAAAGCGUGGGGAGCAAACAGGAUUAGAUACCCCAGUAGUC
rnacentral:rRNA from 1 species